UACGAAGGGGGCUAGCGUUGUUCGGAUUUACUGGGCGUAAAGCGCACGUAGGCGGUUUGUUAAGUGAGAGGUGAAAUCCCAGAGCUCAACUCUGGAACUGCCUUUCAUACUGGCAAGCUAGAGUCCGGAAGAGGUAAGUGGAACUCCUAGUGUAGAGGUGGAAUUCGUAGAUAUUAGGAAGAACACCAGUGGCGAAGGCGGCUUACUGGUCCGGAACCUGACGCUGAGGUGCGAAAGCGUGGGGAGCAAACAGG
rnacentral:rRNA from 1 species